rfam:Oryza brachyantha chromosome 4, whole genome shotgun sequence.
CCGCUAGGAGAAGAAGAUCUUGUUGCAUAUAUUAUAAAUGGCCUUGAUGCAGAUUAUGAUCCUGUUGUUGAGUCAUUCGUGGAAAAAAUAGAGCCAGUCACGGUGUCUCAGCUUUACUCACAACUUCUGAAUUUCGAGA